GUGCUCGUUUCGGCAGCACAUAUACUAAAAUUGGAAUGAUACAGAGAAGAUUAGCAUGACCCCUGAGCAAGGAUGACACACAUACACAUUUACCUCUUUUGU